UGAUAUUCAGGUAUACCAUGUAGACUUGAUAUUCAGGUAUACCAUGUAGACUUGAUAUUCGGGUAUACCAUGUAGACUUGAUAUUAAGGUAUACCAUGUAGACUUGAUAUUCAGGUAUACCAUGUAGACUUGAUAUUCAGGUAUACCAUGUAGACUUGAUAAUCAGGUAUACCAGGCUGACUUGAUAUUCAUGUAUACCAUGUAGACUUGAUAAUCAGGUAUACCAGGCUGACUUGAUAUUCAGGUAUACCAUGUAGACUUGAUGUUCAGGUAUACCAGGCUGACUUGAUAUUCAGGUAUACCAUGUAGACUUGAUAUUCAGGUAUACAAUGUAGACUUGAUAUUCAGGUAUACCAGGCUGACUUGAUAUUCAGGUAUACCAUGUAGACUUGAUAUUCAGGAAUACAAUGUAGACUUGAUAUUCAAGUAUACCAUGUAGACUUGAUAUUCAGGUAUACCAUGUAGACUUGAUAUUCAGGUAUACCAUGUAGACUUGAUAUUCAGGUAUACCAGUGUAUACUUGAAAUACAGGUAUACCAGUGUAGACUUGAUAUUCAGGUAUACCGGUGCAUACUUGAUAUACAGGUAUACCAGUGUAGAC
rnacentral:lncRNA from 1 species